rnacentral:rRNA from 1 species
AGUGAACGCUGGCGGUAGGCCUAACACAUGCAAGUCGAACGGCAGCACAGUAAGAGCUUGCUCUUACGGGUGGCGAGUGGCGGACGGGUGAGGAAUACAUCGGAAUCUACUUUUUCGUGGGGGAUAACGUAGGGAAACUUACGCUAAUACCGCAUACGACCUACGGGUGAAAGCAGGGGAUCUUCGGACCUCGCGCGAUUGAAUGAGCCGAUGUCGGAUUAGCUAGUUGGCGGGGUAAAGGCCCACCAAGGCGACGAUCCGUAGCUGGUCUGAGAGGAUGAUCAGCCACACUGGAACUGAGACACGGUCCAGACUCCUACGGGAGGCAGCAGUGGGGAAUAUUGGACAAAGGGCGCAAGCCUGAUCCAGCCAUACCGCGUGGGUGAAGAAGGCCUUCGGGUUGUAAAGCCCUUUUGUUGGGAAAGAAAAGCAGCAGGUUAAUACCCCGCUGUUCUGACGGUACCCAAAGAAUAAGCACCGGCUAACUUCGUG